AAACUGAUGAUGACUCCAGAAAAGGGCAUACCUUGGAAAUCUAAAUAAAAUGAGUGUGAAAAGCCUCUACUGUCUCCUCAUCAGAACUGGGGUCC
ensembl:snoRNA SNORD116 Small nucleolar RNA SNORD116